GAGUGGCGAACUGGGGAGUAGCACGUGGGUAACCUGCCCUUGAAGUAGGGGAUAACACUUGGAAACAGGUGCUAAUACCGUAUAACAACCAAAACCACCUGGUUUUGGUUUAAAAGACGGCUUCGGCUGUCACUUUAGGAUGGACCCGCGGCGUAUUAGCUUGUUGGUAAGGUAACGGCCUACCAAGGCGAUGAUACGUAGCCGACCUGAGAGGGUAAUCGGCCACAUUGGGACUGAGACACGGCCCAAACUCCUACGGGAGGCAGCAGUAGGGAAUCUUCCACAAUGGACGAAAGUCUGAUGGAGCAACGCCGCGUGAGUGAUGAAGGGUUUCGGCUCGUAAAACUCUGUUGUUGGAGAAGAACAGGUGUCAGAGUAACUGUUGACAUCUUGACGGUAUCCAACCAGAAAGCCACGGCUAACUACGUGCCAGCAGCCGCGGUAAUACGUAGGUGGCAAGCGUUGUCCGGAUUUAUUGGGCGUAAAGCGAGCGCAGGCGGUUUUUUAGGUCUGAUGUGAAAGCCUUCGGCUUAACCGGAGAAGUGCAUCGGAAACCGGGAGACUUGAGUGCAGAAGAGGACAGUGGAACUCCAUGUGUAGCGGUGAAAUGCGUAGAUAUAUGGAAGAACACCAGUGGCGAAGGCGGCUGUCUGGUCUGUAACUGACGCUGAGGCUCGAAAGCAUGGGUAGCGAACAGGAUUAGAUACCCUGGUAGUCCAUGCCGUAAACGAUGAGUGCUAAGUGUUGGAGGGUUUCCGCCCUUCAGUGCUGCAGCUAACGCAUUA
rnacentral:rRNA from 1 species